AGAUCAAAAUUACAAUUCUUGGAAAAUAUUUUUUCAAGACAUUUACUUAUGUUUUUAAGAGGUUUUUACUUAAGGUACAUAAAAGUAUUACAGAACAGAGGCCACUGUAUCCCAUAAAACAGGCAAUAGCUUACAUGUUUGCAUGCACAAGCCCUCAGAUACACUAAUGAAAGUCACACUGAGCAACACAGACUAGGAAGCAGCAUCACAAAUAAAUACUCACCUUGCCUAAGUCUCUGUGCUGGCAAUCUACUGAAAAGCGCGAGGGAAAUAAAGGCCAUAUUCUUUUUUCAGGGUCAAAAGUCGGAGCAGAAGGUCCCUGUUGAGAACGGAUCCUCCAGAAGAGUUUACUGCUCUUCCUUCAUCUCUCACCAUGUUUCCACACCCUUCCCUGGGUCUGCAGUUCUAGUUCUAGUAGCUUCCCUUGGGUUAUGAGUAACCUUUUUCAAUAGAUCUUUGUGGCCCUGCUGCUUUCCUGGCCUCUCACUCACUGUUUUCUUUCCACAGGUGAAAGAAGCAUCAGUUAUACUCAGACUGCAAGCAGGAACAGUGCUGAAGGCUCUGAUGCUUCUGUCACCAUUUAGAAAGAGGAUUCCAAAGAAGAAAUCUCCUUGAGUCUCAGAAGAAACUUUGGACUUAGAAAUCUUAAACUGCAUAGAGAUUGUGAAAAACUAUGGGGCCUUUUGAAAUUGGACUAAACACAUUUUGCAUAUGAUAUGGCCACAAGCCUAUGGGCUUCAUGGAAUGGAAUGUGGUGGUUUGAAUAAGAAUGGCCCACAUAGCCUCAAGUAUUUGAAUAUUUUGUCCCCAGGUGGUGGAACUAUUGAGAAGGAUUAAGAGGUGUGGCCUUGUUGGAAGAGGUGUGUCACUGGGGCUGGGUUUUGAGGGUUAAAAUGUCCACACUAUUCCUAGUUAGCUUUUCCUGCCUCCUGACUGUGUCUCCAGAUGUAAGCUUCAGCUACUGCUCCAGAACCAUCCCAACCUGCCUCCUGCCAUGCUCCACAAAAUGGUAACCAUGGCUCUAACACUUUGCAACUGUGAGCCCCCAAUUAAUUGUUUUCUUUUAUACGUUGACUUUGUCAUGGUAUUUUUGCAUGACAAUAGAAAAGUAACUAAGCAGAUGAAUUCACUCAUUGGUCAUCCAAUGCAGAGUGGUCAGCCCUGAAACCACAUAUACAUAAACAACAAACAUGAACUUGGAAGAUUUCAUAUGUGUAUGUAUAAACAUAUACAUACAUAGUAUUUUAACAACAAUAAUCAAAGAAAAAGUGGCUAUCAAGUUGAGCGUCGAGAAGAGAUUCAGGAGAGUUCAAGGGAGGGUAAACUGGAAUGGCUGAAGCAGUGGUUCUCAACCUUUCUAAUACUGUGACUCUUUAAUACAGCUCCUAAUAUGGCAAGCCACAACUAUAAAAUUAUUUUGUUGCAGUGGGAACAUGGGCCAUUUCCAACUCUUUUACUGGCUUUAGGGACCCUACUCCUCAUACUAGGUUGCCUUGCCCAGCCUUAAUACAUGGGAAGGUGCUUAGUCUUAUUGCAACUUGAUAUGCCAUGUUUUGUUGAUUAUCAUGGGGGACCUGCCCUUUCCUAAACAGAAACAGAGGAGUGGAUUGAGGUGUGGGAAAAGGGG